CUUGGUUUGAUCAUGGCUCAGGAUGAANGCUAGCUACAGGCUUAACACAUGCAAGUCGAGGGGCAGCAUGGUCUUAGCUUGCUAAGGCCGAUGGCGACCGGCGCACGGGUGAGUAACACGUAUCCAACCUGCCGUCUACUCUUGGACAGCCUUCUGAAAGGAAGAUUAAUACAAGAUGGCAUCAUGAGUCCGCAUGUUCACAUGAUUAAAGGUAUUCCGGUAGACGAUGGGGAUGCGUUCCAUUAGAUAGUAGGCGGGGUAACGGCCCACCUAGUCUUCGAUGGAUAGGGGUUCUGAGAGGAAGGUCCCCCACACCGGAACUGAGACACGGUCCAAACUCCUACGGGAGGCAGCAGUGAGGAAUAUUGGUCAAUGGGCGAGAGCCUGAACCAGCCAAGUAGCGUGAAGGAUGACUGCCCUAUGGGUUGUAAACUUCUUUUAUAAAGGAAUAAAGUCGGGUAUGCAUACCCGUUUGCAUGUACUUUAUGAAUAAGGAUCGGCUAACUCCGUGCCAGCAGCCGCGGUAAUACGGAGGAUCCGAGCGUUAUCCGGAUUUAUUGGGUUUAAAGGGAGCGUAGAUGGAUGUUUAAGUCAGUUGUGAAAGUUUGCGGCUCAACCGUAAAAUUGCAGUUGAUACUGGACAUCUUGAGUGCAGUUGAGGCAGGCGGAAUUCGUGGUGUAGCGGUGAAAUGCUUAGAUAUCACGAAGAACUCCGAUUGCGAAGGCAGCCUGCUAAGCUGCAACUGACAUUGAGGCUCGAAAGUGUGGGUAUCAAACAGGAUUAGAUACCCUGGUAGUCCACACGGUAAACGAUGAAUACUCGCUGUUUGCGAUAUACAGCAAGCGGCCAAGCGAAAGCGUUAAGUAUUCCACCUGGGGAGUACGCCGGCAACGGUGAAACUCAAAGGAAUUGACGGGGGCCCGCACAAGCGGAGGAACAUGUGGUUUAAUUCGAUGAUACGCGAGGAACCUUACCCGGGCUUAAAUUGCAGAUGAAUUACGGUGAAAGCCGUAAGCCGCAAGGCAUCUGUGAAGGUGCUGCAUGGUUGUCGUCAGCUCGUGCCGUGAGGUGUCGGCUUAAGUGCCAUAACGAGCGCAACCCUUGUUGUCAGUUACUAACAGGUUCUGCUGAGGACUCUGACAAGACUGCCAUCGUAAGAUGUGAGGAAGGUGGGGAUGACGUCAAAUCAGCACGGCCCUUACGUCCGGGGCUACACACGUGUUACAAUGGGGGGUACAGAGGGCCGCUACCACGCGAGUGGAUGCCAAUCCCAAAAACCUCUCUCAGUUCGGACUGGAGUCUGCAACCCGACUCCACGAAGCUGGAUUCGCUAGUAAUCGCGCAUCAGCCACGGCGCGGUGAAUACGUUCCCGGGCCUUGUACACACCGCCCGUCAAGCCAUGGGAGCCGGGGGUACCUGAAGUGCGUAACCGCGAGGAGCGCCCUAGGGUAAAACUGGUGACUGGGGCUAA
rnacentral:rRNA from 1 species